rnacentral:tRNA from 1 species
GACCUCGUAGCUCAAUUGGAUAGAGCGCAGCCCUCCGAAGGCUGAGGUUGUAGGUUCGAGCCCUAUCGAGGUCGCCA